UAAAGGACAGUUGGGACCAGAAAGGAAUAUUCAUCGGCAGGAACUGCGUCCAUUAUUAACCGAUCCAUCUAACCAUCUGCCUCCUAUUAUAGAGAGGAGGGUGAAUAGAGACAAUCCCCAAGAGAGAAUUGUACAAAGCCCAGACCUCAGUAGUGAAGAGGAGUUGGAUUUUCUGGUGUUGAAACCAGCAUCCCCACAUAAAGAAGCCAGGCAGCAAGGUGCAACCGUGACUCCUCUAAACCAGCCUGUUCUUUCAAGUUCUGGCCAGGGUGGGUCUUUAGAGAAUAUUGUUCCGGGGGGCGAAGAGGAUCAUGUCCAAGAUGGAGUCACACGACGGACUACAAGGAUAACAGCAGGCCAACAUUCCAACCCUUUUCACCUGCCUAGGACCAUAGCAAGGAGCCCGGAGGGUGAGGAAGGGAAUGCAAUUUGCCCCAUAAUUAACAGGUUGAAUGUCUUGUUCAGGCCCUGGAAUUGAUGGUUUUGUCACCGGGACGGUGACAUUUACAGGGGGGUGAAUGUGGCACAUAGGAAAGUAGGUCAGGUGGGCGGCGUCAGUAAAUAGUUUUAGGUGAGCCGUCUAUGGUACCUGGUGACGCAAAUUAGAGGGCAAUUAGCCAUUUGUAUGAGCGAACGCCACAUGUAAAGGGAGUGCCACUAGCACAGCAUUUCAGACACUGCAGGGGAGUGAAAAGGCGAAGCACUAUUGUGUGAAGGAGUCCGUAUUUAAAGAAGACUCUAAUAGUUCUCGAAAAACUGUUUGAUGUGACCAGUAGGCAAGGCUGAUAGCCGUCGAUUGCGGUGUGACUCAAUUUGAAUUGUUUCAGUAAAGCGGCGCGAGAUCACGUUUUAUAAGGAUACAUUUGGCAGGCUGCAUAUAUGGUUCAGGAGAGUUUGUCAGCCACUGUUUUCUUUACCUCCAUA